GCAGCUGAGUCCUGAACGGGACAUUUGCUGGCUGUGCUCUGCUCCUGGGACUGCCAACCUCUUGGGACAAGUUGUUCCUCUGGCUGCACGGAAGAGCUAAGCUCACUAACAAGAAUAUGAUCAGAACACGACCAGGGAGAUCCAGAGCCUGCACAUGGUCUGUAUUGCAGCAAAACCCCAAGAGAUGAACUCACUGGUGCCUAUGAGAACCAAUUCCCGUUAUAAAACACCACGUAAAACGACAGAGACCUUGGGACCGCUGAGAGCAGAAGAAAUAAUAAACAUCCCACAGAGAGGAAAUGAAGUUCCCCCCCUCCCGUCUUUCCUUUUUGCUCCACCGCAUAAUAAUGACACAGCCCUCAAGGUUUGGCAUCAGUUCCCAUCUGCAGGAGCCAUACUGAAGGUUCUUUAUCACAGCAGGCUUCCCAGAGGCCAGCAAUCUUCUGCCACCUGGUUAAGCUGGCUUUAUAGCUGUGUCACAUCAGAAGAAGUGAAUAAAGGAGUAAUUAGGGGACAAGAGAAGGCACAGUGCGGCUCUAGCAGGACUGCCUGGAGAUGGGAAAAACAGUGGUUUUGGGGUGUGAAGCUGGAUGCAAAGAUAAAGUUUCACACUGAAGGCUGGUGAUAGCAAUGAAGCAUUUGGGAGCUGGCUACAAACCCAUGAAGGACAUACUGGGACAAGCUGAAUGUGCCACAUUCAUCCCUUAAGGGUUACAGCUCCACCUUACCAGGACAUCCCAGCUCCCCUCCAUGCCUGCUUGUGCCCAACCAAAGUGCAGAGCUGCUGGGUUUCCCCUGGUCC